UUCACUCCCGUCAACUGUGAAAGAGUCUGUAUGUCCAUUAAUGUGACUCUUCACUCUUGCAUCUCCUUCACUCUUCCCGUUGAACAAGAGGAGAUUCACAGAAACCUUUCAUCUCUCUUUUUGUUGGAAGUUGCAAGACUCUGGAUUAUGAGAUUUAUUCUUUGAGUGUUGGCUGAGAGUGGGAUCAAAACAUUCCUCAAGCACUUUGGAAGCUCUUUUGAACACGAACUUCAGUAACAUUAAUGGCUCCUUCGUCUGGAGUAUCGAUUAUUUUUUAUGGAUGAAAAUUGUCAAUGGCAUGAGUAAAGUCGGAAAAAAGCAGGGGUACUUGAAAGAAAGGUAUGCAAUUGACUAUAUUUUAUACAUUUGAUUACAAUUCAAUCAUAAUUUAAUUAUCUUAUAAUUAUUUUAAGACAAAGUAAAGAAGAUGAGCAAUCCUUAAAACUUAGAAUUGAAUUGAUGUUGAGCUUCUAAUGAAUGUUAUUAUUAUGGGCUUGCACCUAUUAUACAUUUUUAGGCCAAAGAAAUAUAUUAAA